AAUAAACGCAGCUUGAAAUUCACACUAGUUUUCACCAGCUCUGCCUGCCCAACCACAUCCUGUGAAAUGUUUUAGUCUCAGGCACACAGCAACUGUGAAGACCAUGGGAAACGACCACAUCACAAGGAGGUUGCUGAUGGGGGAUGAGGAAGCCGUAGAGAAAAGGCCACCUGCCAUUGCUUUUCCCUGAGCCAGCCAUGUGCUGCAGACUUCUCUGCUGUGUGGCCCUUUUUUUCUGGGGAGCAGGCUCCAUGGACACUAAGGUCACCCAGAGGCCUGGACAUCUGGUCAAAGGAAAGGAACAGAAAGCAAAGAUGGAUUGUGUCCCCAUAAAAACACAUAGUUAUGUUUAUUGGUAUCGCCGGAAGCUGGAAGGAGAGUUUGAGUUUUUGGUUUACUUACAGAAUGGAAAGAUUACAGAUAAAAUAGAAGGGUUUGAUCAGCAAUUCUCAGCUCAAUGCCCCCAAGAUGCAUCCUGCAGCCUGGAAAUCAAGUCCACUGAGCCAGGAGACUCUGCACUGUAUUUCUGUGCCAGCAGUGAAUCCACAGUGCUGAACGUGAGCUUUUCUUAGCACACAAACUCAUCG